rnacentral:rRNA from 1 species
CUGCUGCCUCCCGUAGGAGUCUGGGCCGUGUCUCAGUCCCAGUGUGGGGGCCUUCCNCUCNACCC